rnacentral:tRNA from 1 species
GACCGAAUGGCGUAGUGGUUAGUGACCCUGACUACUGAGCCCUUCGGCUUGAGGACCUUCGUCCCGGGUUCGAUUCCCGGCUGGGGCA